CCUACGGGUGGCAGCAGUGAGGAAUAUUGGUCAAUGGGCGGAAGCCUGAACCAGCCAAGUAGCGUGCAGGAUGACGGCCCUACGGGUUGUAAACUGCUUUUAUACGGGAAUAACGCGCCUUACGUGUAGGGCUUUGCAUGUACCGUAUGAAAAAGCAUCGGCUAACUCCGUGCCAGCAGCCGCGGUAAUACGGAGGAUGCGAGCGUUAUCCGGAUUCAUUGGGUUUAAAGGGUGCGCAGGCGGGCCUUUAAGCCGGCGGUGAAAUCGCGGGGCUCAACCCCGCCGAGCCGUCGGAACUGGGGGCCUUGAGUGCGGCGGAGGCAUGCGGAAUGCGCGGUGUAGCGGUGAAAUGCAUAGAUAUCGCGCAGAACCCCGAUUGCGAAGGCAGCGUGCCGUGCCGCCACUGACGCUGAGGCACGAAAGCGCGGGGAUCGAACAGGAUUAGAUACCCGUGUAGUC
rnacentral:rRNA from 1 species